rnacentral:rRNA from 1 species
CUACGUAGGGUGCGAGCGUUGUCCGGAAUUACUGGGCGUAAAGAGCUCGUAGGUGGUUUGUCGCGUCGUCUGUGAAAUUCCGGGGCUUAACUCCGGGCGUGCAGGCGAUACGGGCAUAACUUGAGUACUGUAGGGGAGACUGGAAUUCCUGGUGUAGCGGUGAAAUGCGCAGAUAUAAGGAGGAACACCGGUGGCGAAGGCGGGUCUCUGGGCAGUAACUGACGCGGAGGAGCGAAAGCAUGGGUAGCGAACAGGAUUAGAUCCCCUGGUAGUCCAUGCCGUAAACGGUGGGCGCUAGGUGUAGGGGUCUUCCACGACUUCUGUGCCGUAGCUAACGCAUUAAGCGCCCCGCCUGGGGAGUACGGCCGCAAGGCUAAAACUCAAAGGAAUUGGCGGGG